rnacentral:lncRNA from 1 species
UAAAGAAAGCUGACUUGUUUGCCAAGUUGAAUUUCUGGUGAAGAAAAGAACAUUUUCAGACUGAGAUGUGGCAAACAUGAAGAGUGGUCAACAGAGAAAGGAAAAACUGUACUGAGAUGAGAACAACUUCAGAAGUAAACGUGUCCUGAGCUGUAAGUGAGGUCGGGUCUAGAUUGACCAGAUCAAUUGUCACACAGCUGAGUGGGAAGGGUCCUUGUCUUACCUUUAAGGACUCAAGACAUCAGGAAAUGGAGAGCCAGCUGGGGCCCAGACGUGUCCUCUGUGGCAGAGCUUCUGGGGACUUGCAGGCUGUGGAUCAACAGUGGAAGUCAGAGUAAGUGUUCCUGCAGCACAGAAG